AACCUAGCACACCUGCGGUGUGUACCUGCGGAGGGAUCAUUACCGAGUUUACAAACUCCCAACCCUUUGUGAACCUUACCAUAUUGUUGCUUCGGCGGGACCGCCCCGGCGCCUUCGGGCCCGGAACCAGGCGCCCGCCGGAGGCCCCAAACUCUUAUGUCUUUAGUGGUUUUCUCCUCUGAGUGACACAUAAACAAAUAAAUAAAAACUUUCAACAACGGAUCUCAGAUCGGAAGAGCA
rnacentral:misc_RNA from 1 species